rnacentral:rRNA from 1 species
UACGUAGGGCGCAAGCGUUGUCCGGAAUUAUUGGGCGUAAAGAGCUCGUAGGCGGUUUGUCGCGUCUGCUGUGAAAACCUAAGGCUCAACCUUGGGCUUGCAGUGGGUACGGGCAGACUAGAGUGCGGUAGGGGUGACUGGAAUUCCUGGUGUAGCGGUGAAAUGCGCAGAUAUCAGGAGGAACACCGGUGGCGAAGGCGGGUCUCUGGGCCGAUACUGACGCUGGAGGAAGCGAAAGCGUGGGAGCGACAGG